CAAUAGCGUAUAUUUAAGUUGUUGCAGUUAAAAAGCUCGUAGUUGGAUUUUGGGUCGGGGCACCGGUCCGCCGUUCCGGUGUGCACUGGUGGCCCCUUCCUUUCUGCCGGGGACGUGCGUCGCACUUAAUUGGGUGGCGUUCGGAGUCGGCGUUGUUACUUUGAAAAAAUUAGAGUGUUCAAAGCAAGCCAUCGCUCUGAAUACAUUAGCAUGGAAUAACAUGAUAGGACUCUGGUCUUAUUUUGUUGGUUUCCGAGACUGGAGUAAUGAUUAAGAGGGACAGUCGGGGGCAUCCGUAUUUCAUUGUCAGAGGUGAAAUUCUUGGAUUUAUGAAAGACGAACUUCUGCGAAAGCAUUUGCCAAGGAUGUUUUCAUUAA
rnacentral:rRNA from 1 species